GCGGUUGUGAUGGAAAUGGAAGACAUAGGAGAUUUAAAAUCUCCCGCCUGAUGGCAUGCGGGUUCGAUUCCCGCCUUCCGCACCA
rnacentral:tRNA from 1 species